AUGAACGCUGGCGGCGUGGAUGAGGCAUAUAAGUCAAGGGGCCGCAAGGCACCGGCAGACGAGGUAGUAACACGUAGGAACGCACCCGGAAGUUUGGCAUAGCUUCGCGAAAGCGGAGGUAAUUCCAAAUGUGAUAGAAAUAUCAAAGAAGCAAUUCGCUUCCGGAGCGGCCUGCGGAGUAUCAGCUAGUUGGUAGGGUAAUGGCCUACCAAGGCUAAGACGCUUAGGGGACCUGAGAGGGUGACCCCCACCGAUGGAACUGAGAUACGGUCCAUACACCUACGGGUGGCAGUAGCCGAGAAUAUUCGACAAUGGAGGAAACUCUGAUCGAGCGACGCCGCGUGAUGGAUGAAGUCCCUUUGGGACGUAAACAUCUUUUGUGGAGGAGAAAGUAGUAACAUUUAUGUUGCUAUUGAUAGUACUUCAAGAAUAAGGGGUUGCUAAACUCGU
rnacentral:rRNA from 1 species